CGCAUUAUAAAACCUAAUUCAUAAAAACUCACUAUUAUAAUAUUACUACCAAAUCCAACUUCAUAAAUUAAUUACAUAAUUUAAUCCGAUUUAAAAAUUAUAAAUUGUAGUUCACUUUAAACCUUUUUUAUUAGCUGCAUUUUGACUUGACAUAAUAAUUACUACAUUAUUAAGUUUCUUAUAAAAUUUUUACAAAAUAAACUGAUGACAGCAAUAUACAAACUGAUAAUAUACAUUAAAUAUUCAAAAAAAAGUAAGUAUAAAUUGGGGAUUAUCAAAUUAAUAAGCAAACUCCUCUGGAAGGAUAUAUAACACCGCCAAGCCUUUUAAGUUUCAAACAUUCUAAUUAACUACUUAUUUUACUUUUCAUAAAUUUAUUGUUCACACUACUUAAGUAAUAAAAAUUUUUAAAAUAAAGAA
rnacentral:rRNA from 1 species